rnacentral:rRNA from 1 species
UAAGGAAUAUUGGUCAAUGGACGCAAGUCUGAACCAGCCAUGCCGCGUGCAGGAGGACGGCCCUAUGGGUUGUAAACUGCUUUUUGUACGGGAACAAACCUUGAUACGUGUAUCAAGCUGAGUGUACCGUAAGAAUAAGGAUCGGCUAACUCCGUGCCAGCAGCCGCGGUAAUACGGAGGAUCCGAGCGUUAUCCGGAUUUAUUGGGUUUAAAGGGUGCGUAGGCGGCAUGCUAAGUCAGGGGUGAAAGACGGUGGCUCAACCAUCGCAGUGCCUUUGAUACUGGUGUGCUUGAAUGCGGAUGAGGUAGGCGGAAUGUGGCAAGUAGCGGUGAAAUGCAUAGAUAUGCCACAGAACACCGAUUGCGAAGGCAGCUUACCAAGGCGUAAUUGACGCUGAUGCACGAAAGCGUGGGGAUCAACAGGAUUAGAUACCC